CAAGAGUUUGGGGCAAGUAAGAAGAUGGUGAAAAUCUGGAAAUAUAGGUGUUCACAAUGGCAGCUGAAGAAUUUUCCACAUGGGCAAGAAGCAAAGAAGUUAUGCCAGAGAAGGAGUGGGAAGAUAAGUCAGCAAGUGCCAAUUCUCAGGCUGAAAAGGCUUCUUGAAUCGGUGAUUUUCCAAAUCCAGUCCUUACCUACGACCGGCAAAAAGGCAAGGGUCUCCAGCUACAGGCCUAAGACCACCAUGAUCAUCUGCAACUUCACUCCUCUGCGCAGGGGCUCCAAAUAAACACUCUCCCCUCACAA